UACGAAGGGGACUAGCGUUGUUCGGAAUCACUGGGCGUAAAGCGCACGUAGGCGGAUAUGUCAGUCAGGGGUGAAAUCCCGGGGCUCAACCUCGGAACUGCCUUUGAUACAGCAUGGCUUGAGUCCGAUAGAGGUGGGUGGAAUUCCUAGUGUAGAGGUGAAAUUCGUAGAUAUUAGGAAGAACACCGGUGGCGAAGGCGGCCCACUGGAUCGGUACUGACGCUGAGGCGCGAAAGCCAGGGGAGCAAACGGG
rnacentral:rRNA from 1 species